GCGUUGGUGGUUUAGUGGUAAAAUUCAUCGUUGCCAUUAGUUCUACAUAGUCCUAAUUCGAUGAGCCCCGGGUUCGAUUCCCGGCCGACGCA